CUCUGGGGUUUGAGAUGGAAAGCAUGUUUAUACCUACAGCUGGGUUCAGCCCACUUUAACCUCAAGUACAUUAGCCAUUCCCUCUGUAACUCAUGCCUCUUCCCACCCAGCCUCCCCACAAAAGCACUGAUCCUCUCUGGAGAGGGUCUGUCCUGGGCUUCAGCCAAACCCCAGGCUGAUACUCACUGGUUCUUCUCCAAUUCAAGCAGGAGAUCCUGGCCUUCAGCCUCUAAAGCCACCAGCACCACAUCGGGCUUCAAGACCUGACCGAGAAGGAAUGCAGUGACACACUAGGCCUCUAGGCCACCUGCCUGACAGGAAACAGCACAUUCAGAAAUCAAUCUGGAACUGACCCAAUGGCUAACUUUCAUAGCGCUAGAAGGUGCUAUGUAGGUUUCUGGGAGAGAAAAGUCAUCAACGGUAUUGCCCAAUGGAGAACCUUGAAUGCUACCGUAACGAGCUGCCAGUUGCAGUUGGGAGGGGAACCGUGGAUCAAACCUGAGGGCAGUGCAUCCCAGGACAUCAUUGGCCAUGCCUGGAAGCAGCAUGGAACAGUGAGUUAUCAGGUCUCAUUAUGUAGACCAGGCUGGCCUGCCUCUGCCUCCUGUAUGCUGGGAUUACAGGCGUGCACCUCCACACCCGAUUCGUUGUGUUUUUAAGAGAUGAGGUUUUGCUGUGUUGCCCACACUCAUCGCAGUCUCCUGGGCUCAAGGGAUCCUCCCACCUCAGCCUGGAGCGGCUGGGUCUACCGGUUCACAACACAACAUCCAGGUUAAUUUCGGAAGUCUAAGGCUUCAGACCACCAGGAUUGACCCAAAGAGCUUCUCUGCGAAUUCUUCAGCACACCCCCUUGGAAGGACAUGUGAGCUGAUGAAGACUCCCAAGUCACAUGUUCCCAAACCCACUGCACCCACCUGCCCAUGGCCAUCCCUGACAGCCUGGAGCAUCUUGCUGCUCUAAGUUUGUUCUCUCCUUGUCCUGCUUCUGGAUUAAAGCUGGUUUUCUACCCUGCUACUCAACAAAAAUAUACAAGAAACAAGUGUCACCUGCCAUAUGCCAAACGUGUGCUGGUCCUUAGGAGUGAGCAGCCCAUCAUAGGAGCUGUGAGGAGCAGGAAGGGACACAGAUGACAUCCGCAGACAGUAUGAGGCAAGCGUCCUGUGAUUUACACUCCCUGGCCACGUGCCCACAGAAUUUAAUAAAUUCCCUGAAUUCUAGCCUAGACAUUCUGGUUGCAAGAAGAAAAUUGACUCCAGUUGUAUCGUGGAAUGGAAGUUUAUUGGAAGAAUACGCUAGACAGGCUCCUGGAGAAAACAUGGUAUACAGGCACAAAAAAUGAAAUGGGACCUGAAGAGGAUCAGAAAUUUAAGGUCAUCUACUCUCAGCUACAUAAUUCAAUUGAAGUCAGCUUGAGCUACAUGAGCCCUUGUCUAGGGCGGGGAAGGAAGGGAAGAAGGGAAGGAAGAAAGUGGGCCUUCCCUGGUUCAUUCCCAACAUUCUAGCCUCAAUUCUGACUCCACUACUCCCUAGGUUCUCAGCUCCAGACCCUUUGAUCCUUCCACCACAUACUACCAGGCUACAGCAGGAGUUCCCAACCCACGGUAAGCCAGCUUCCCCUCCAUCCCUGACCUCCCAGGAGCACUUCAUCCCUUCUUGGUGAUACUCAUGUGUUUUAACAGACACUGGAGCAUGGGUGUUCAAGAAAUGCACAGCUGUUCCCUUUUCCAUGGAGAGAGAUGUACCCAGAGCAGGAAUAAGGAUGCUUGUUCAUACUUGAACAGGUAACACCCCAGUCUGCUCCUCAUUCUUGAGCCAGUUUACAGCUAACUGUAGGAGUGGGAGGGAGUGGGAUGAGUUACUUCUUCCAAGGGCAGACCCUGUACAAAGAUGUCUGCCUGGCAUGCCAUUGCUCUCCUAAGUGUGGCGGUUUGAAUGAGAAUGGCCCCCAUACGCCUGUGUGCUUGAAUACUCUGUCCCUGGUUGAUGAACUGUUUGGGAAGGAUUAGGAGGUGUGGCCUUGUUGGAGUAGGUGUGUCUCUAGGGGUGGGCUCUGAUAUUUCAAAAGUCCACGCCAGGCCUUCUCUCUCUCUCUCUCUCUCUCUCUCUCUCUCUCUCCCUCCUCUCUGUUUCUCUCUCCUCUGUCUCUUUCUCUCUUUGUCUGUCUCUCUGUCUCUCUAUCUCUUUUUCUCCCUGCUGCCUGGGGUAUAAUGUUCUCAGCUACUGCUCCAAUGCCACACCUGUCUGCUUCCCACCAUGUGAUCAAGGACUAACCCUCUAAAAGUAUAUGCAAGCCCCCAGCUAAAUAGAGUUAUCUUGUUCAUCGUAUCCCUUUACAGCCAAAGAACAGUAACUAAGACACCUUGGGACCACCAAACCUUAGUUUCCUCAGUUUUAUCAUAUCAGAGGGAUUGAUCCUUCCAGGAAACUCAGAACCAGAAUGUCCAGGGAUUGAAUCAGAGCCUAGCUUGACAAUGGGACUCUCUCCAAUAUCAAAAGUCCUAGGGCUGAGUCCACAGUUGGGGUCUUUGAGAAAUACAGGUUCCAAAUGUAGUCAAGACUCAGAAUAAAAAGUACAUUUCCCAGUCUCCCUUGCAGCACAGUGUGUCUGUGUGACCAGAUUCUAGCUGAUGAGAAGUGAGUAGAAUUGACAGCUGUGCUUCCCAUCUCUGUGGACCAUGGGAACAGGCAUGCCCUUCACUCCACUCUCCCUUCUCACUGUAGGACCAUGCUCACUGCAAUCACCCAAGCUUCAUAAUCAAAGGCAACAUUUGGGGGAUGGAGAAGAGCAAGAGAGAAGGAUUCUGAGCCCCAAUAUCUUAUUCCACCAUAGCAAAGCCAGUAUAGGAGAGAAAAAUAAAACUCUGUCACACUGAAGUCACUGUAUUCGGUCUCUGUUAAAACAGCCUGACUUUUAUUCUGUCUGGUACAGAGUAUUGUAGCAAGUCCAUGAGGGCCCAGAUGCUGUUCUAGCCAAUCAAAAAAGUCCACGGUGGCCUUUGAAGAGAAAGAGGCAAAAGGACACAGAAGAAAGCUUCACAGAGAAACGUGGCCAACAUGGCUGGCUCAGUCCCAGAGCCCUGGAGGCAGCAGGCUGACUUCCACUUCACCUGUCUCCAUCAGUUUUUCUUAGGAGCAAGAGGCUUGGAAGGCAGGUCACAGAAAGUCGGUUGCUACUGUGCUGCCUGUACAGAGGUAGGCAGGGCAUUGUUCACAACACCUGAGUUGUCAGAUAGUGGCAACCACCUCCUCCUGAGGGCAGGUAAGGCUUCCGUCAGUGCAGAGGUGUGGCUGCAUCCAGUGCUAGGAGCUUCCCAUAAAGAAAACCUGGGUCACAGAAGGUCCCACACUGACGUGUGGUCCUAGGAAGAGGUCAUCUGCAGAAGAGGAGUACACUAGUGGAGGGAAAGUGACCUCUCUUUCCUGCCUAGGUGACAGGCAGGCUCAGACUUGAGGAAGAAAGACUUCAAACCAGAGGGGAAGGGAUCAGAAAAUUAUGUCUUGAUAAAGCUACCAAGUCAUGCACCCAGCAAACACAGCUACUCCACGCCUCAGUCAGAAAGGCUCUUGCUAUUCCCCAAAGAAACCUGGGCUCCUGUGCUUCUCUCCCAACCACCCCUGGUCCCAGUACUGUCCUUUAAAUAGGAACGCUGUCUGGGUGUCAGAUGGACACUGUUACACCUACACGCGCCCAUAUAUGUCAAAUGGAUACCUGCAUAGUAUCUUUAUGAGUGGCCAUCUCUGCUGAAUUCUCGUUCACAUUCAUCUUAUGAGAAUGCCUCUUUCUGCAGGGGCAAGAGCAGACUCAGUAAGAGUCCCUGCCCUGCAGCUUCACAGCCUCCCCGACUGCACAGAGUGGAACAGCCCCCCCCCCCCCACACACACACAGUGUGGAGCACCUUGUUU